rnacentral:lncRNA from 1 species
CGCACUUUGCAAAGAAUUCAACGGGUCGCUUUCGUGCGCACAUCGCAUUCUCUGUGUGUUCCUGCGUUGAUGGCUCAGCUUCGUUUUGGUGCUUUCAGACAUUCACGUACUAAUCACAGACAUGGGAAGACUAUAAGACGUCAAGAUGAAAGGCUCCUAGCAGCUCUCAGUGUUCCCAACGAAACUGGCAGAAUGGCAGUGGCUGAUUACAAGCUGCCUUUGGUGAACAAAAAAACCGUGACCACAUUAGAAUCCGAGCAGAGCUCCAAUCCUGCAUUCUGACGACACCUUACACAACGGCUCUCUGUUAUGGGGGGCUGGUACUUAAGAAGCUUUACUGCGGGCAUCCUACCCACUAUUUUCAGACUGUUUUGGUGGAAACUUAAGCUAGACUCUAGGCCAGUGGCGGAAAAAGAGCUUCAGGGACAUGCAUGUCUACAGUGUCAUGGAAGGUAAGAUUAGAGGGCUGCUGUUUGACUGGGCCUAGAGAUAAAGUGCAGUGACUCUUACUCACAAAAUACAUGCUAUUUUGAAUGAAAAAAAUAAAUAAAAACAUGAACACAUU